rnacentral:rRNA from 1 species
GACGAACCGUGCGAACGUUAUUCGGAAUCACUGGGCUUAAAGCGCGUGUAGGCGGGACGGCACGUCUGUCGCUAAAAUCCCCCGGCUUAACCGGGGAACUGGCGUAGAUACGACCGUCCUGGAGGGGCGUAGGGGGACCUGGAACUUCCGGUGGAGCGGUGAAAUGCGUUGAGAUCGGAAGGAACGCCCGUGGCGAAAGCGAGGUCCUGGACGCCUACUGACGCUGAGACGCGAAAGCCAGGGGAGCGAACGGG